GACGAAUUUCCAAUCUCAUUGGCUGUCAUUUUUACAGUUUUAAAACAUCGAAAUGACAGCCAAUGAGAUUGGAAAUUCGU
rnacentral:miRNA from 1 species